rnacentral:lncRNA from 1 species
GGCUGCCGGGCUGCGGGCGGUGGGAGAUGACGGGGGUGGGAGCAGGAGCGGGAGCAGGGGCGGGAGCGGGAGCGGGAGUGGGAGUGCUCAGUCUCUCGGGUCGCCUGGAUAUUUAUGAAAAGGACGCCAGGGAAAGGGCUCCGCUGUAGACCGAAGGGAUAAGGGUUCGAUUCAGAAGGGAGCGUUAUUUUUAUCCCCUCUCCACAUAAUGGAACGUUUAAAUGGUUAAAUCAAGUACCUUGCAGGAGAGGGUGGGGUGGCCUUGAGAAUACACUCAAGGCCUCAGUACAUGCAGUCUGGAAGUGGGGGAAUCAAGAGCACCCUGUCUCUAGUACUGUCCUCAAUGAUAAGGCGCUGAGGUUCCCAACCUGGACCAAGAAGUACAUAUUCAGGUUCAAAGGAUAAACCAAAACAAAACCUGAGCUCUCUCUCUAGAAUGAAGUGCCUGGUCCCAGUUCACCAUCUAAUAUUUAUGGAAAGCUUAUCAGGUACUUGGUGCUGGGGGCUAAGGGGCCCGCAAUGUGGUAAGUGAGCAGGGACUGUUGAUGUGUUGGAGGUGUGGAGCAGGGUGAGAAGAGGUGAGCAGUGUGUGUGUAGUGAGAGCAGAGAGGCCACACAGAGCCAAAUGCUGGGGGUAUAGACAAGGGAGCAACCAUGAGAGUUGAGUGUAACAGAAGCUACAGUCCCACUUCCUCCAGAGAGGAGGACCAGCCACUAACUCUUCUUAGUAGCAAUUAGGUGAGGCUGCACCAAAGACAGAACCACCGAGGUGGGCUCUGAAACAUGAGGAGCAGUCCACCAUGUCAAGGCAGGAAGGAAGGCACUCCAGGCAGAGGGAUCAGUCUGUGCCCAAGGCCCUUUGUCAUGAGAGCACAUGCUUGGUCGCUUCUGGCCAUGCCUAAUAAUCUGGCAGGGACAGAGCUCAUGGUCUCCAAGAGCACAUGGUAGCAGACAGGGCUGGAAGGUGUGGGGCCCUGAGAAUCAAGCUAAGGUGCUUCGACUGUAUACCCAAGGUCACGGGGACCACUCAGCAUGUUCAAGGAGGGAAGCAGUAUGAUGAGAACUUUAGAAUGAGUACAAAUUAAACAUCAAUGUGCAUGUAUAAGUGCACAUUUACAUGUACACGCAUGUACAAAACCAAGACAGGGCUGACAGAACACAAGGAAGAAAGUCAGAUGUGACCAAUUCAAAAAGAGUCUGAACAAUCCUUCCCUCUAUUCCUUUUCAUUCCAUAAAUAGGGGUCUCACGUUUACCGUGAGCCAGUGGGGCCAGAUGUUUAAAAAGAGAAAACCAUAGUGCCUUCCCUCAGGAUGCCUUCACUCUGCUAAAGCUCAGUCUGCCCCCACAGAGAACAGAAGUGUCAGCAGAGGACUGUAAGUGCUAUGUGAUUGGACGACGGUGGCCAUAGAAUUUCACCUGCCCAGCACGUAUUCUCUCAUCCUCUCCUCCUCUGCCUUCUUUGGGUAAGUAAAGCUGUUUUCUGUGGUUGCAGUGAUGGCUGGAUCUUGGCAGUCAUACAUGAUAGAACAACCGUGAACCUGAGGAAGUGACUGAGUCACUGUGGGGUGCGAGGCAGUGAGAACUCUUCGUCGCUGGCUGGAAAGCAUCCCAAGGUGGCUGAGAAGCAGAUACACAGACAUGUACCUCUCCAGCUUGCAAAGUCCAGCUCUCUGCCUCUAGGCAGGGCUAGUGCCGGCAAAGGCAAGGGACAGAGACCUAGGAAAAGCCUGCUGUACAGCGCAUGCCUGACCAAGGUGAUCACUGUCACCGCUGUUAAGAGCCAUCUCCUGGGGGUCUAGGUUGCUUGCAGGCAGGGAGAAGAUGAAGCUGUGCCUCACCAUUUCCAGGUUGGUGUCCAAGAGGGACCUGAGAAGGCAGAGGCCAAGGGGGAAGCCAUGCUCGCAGAGGGGUAGGGGAUGUGGCGAGGAUGAGAAGAGCUCCUCGGCCCAUUGUUAGGAAACAGAAAUGACAAGGAAGACCAAGUCGAGGACCAGGACUCAGCAAGAUCUCUGUCUCUGGCGUUGCCUUCCAGUACACAGGGCCAACAGAAAUCAGUGAAACAGCAGGAGAAGGAAGUUCAGGGAAGUCAUGCUAUGGCUAGCAAAUCCCCAAACCUGAAAACAAUUCCUAGGAUCCUGAACCUCUAGCAACAGGAGCAGGGCUACCAAAGUGACAAGGACACAGCAGGGACUGCUCCCCAAGUCCUUUCUCAGGGGCUUCCAUGGAGUCGAGUUUCCAUCUCCUUUUUAUUCUUUAUUUUUAAAGUUACGUUGUGGUCAGUUUCUGCCACCUGCAAAUGGAAUGUGUUCUGACCACUACACACUGUGACAGGGGCAAAAAUAAAGAGCCCUGUGGAGCCUCAAUGGAGGGAGGGGAAGUUUCCUUUCCCGUGGGAGGAAGUGCUGUUGAUUUUAUUUAUUCAGUGAUUCAAUGAAUAUUCCUGGAGGGUCUUCUAUGUACCAAGUAUUCUGCCGGCCAGACCGUCCCUGAACUCAGGGAGCUUAUUUUCUAGUGGGGAGACAGACAAUAGACAGAUCAGGGAAUAUGAAAACAGUUAAAGGUUGCUAUGAAUGCUCUCGGGGAC